rnacentral:lncRNA from 8 species
CACGGUUUUGUCACACCAGGGGUGAUGGUCAGAUUCGCGUUUAUCGUCGAAGGAAUGAGCGUUACACCGAGGCCUGUACUCUGGAGCGGGAUCGAUUUUGGAGGUGUAGGAUCUGACAUGGUCUGGGGCGGUGUAUGACCGCAUCAUCGGACUGAGCUUGUUGUCAUUGCAGGCAAUCGCAACGCUGUGCGUUACAGGGAAGACAUCCUCCUCCCUCAUUCCCCCCAGAAAUGUCCGGGAACUUGCAGGUGCCUUGGUGGAAGAGUAGGGUAACAUCUCACAGCAAGAACUGGCAAAUCUGGUGCAGUCCAUGAGGAGGAGAUGCACUGCAGUACUUAAUGCAGCUGGUGGCCACACCAGAUACUGACUGUUUGAUUUUGACCCCCCCACCUUUGUUCAGGGACACUUUAUUCAAUUUAUCUUAGUCACAUAUCUGUGGAACUUGUUCAGUUUAUGUCCCAGUUGUUGAAUCUUGUUUUGUUCAUACAAAUAUUUACACAUUUAAAGUUUGCUGAAAAUAAACGUAGUUGACAGUGAGAGGACAUUUUCUUUUUUUGCAGAGUUUAUUUCUAGAAGAAGGGGAGAGAAAAAAAAGGAAAUAUAUAAUUCAAAUUUAAGUAAGCAUACUAUAUACAGGAAAUAUUUAAAAAGUCAGUUCCAAUACCAUAUUUACAUGUGCAGGGAUGAUGGAGGUAGAUAUGUAUAGGGGGAAGGAGUCAGGGAUACUGGAGUGAUGGAGGUAGAUAUGUAUAGGGGUGAGUGUACUACAUGGGGUGUAGGGUGCCAUUUGAGAUGCGUGCACACACACAGUCAGGUUAGCCAUAUUAUUAGGCACUACUCCAUUCAGUUGAAUGGAUGUUAAUUUGUGGCCUACUAUUGAAAUGUUAUUUACAUGUUCAGGUCUACUUCCUCCUUCCUGGGCAGAGAGGUGUCUCCUUUGUCCCGGCUGGGCUCCUCAGAUAACUACCCAGAGAGAGACGUCUGUGGGAGUCACUUCCUGUUUGAUAAGACAUGGAAGAAUGACAACAGGAUGUAUCCCAAGUAUGAUUUCAGAGAUGAGCGUCGUCCCAUGAAGCCUAACGCCUCCAUCCCUCCCCUGCCCAGAGACUACCAGAUCCACCGGUCGGGCCACCGCCACCACUAUACCCUCCACAAGGAGCUUUCCCAUGCCCCUGCUCGCCCCCGUGCCUUUGGCUCUUAUGAAGCCUAUGACCUGACAUCAGUUCCUGCCAUCCUGCUGCCAGCUGCAUCCUCGCUCAAUGGGAGAAACCCCUUCUCCUCAGAAGGCUACAAGAACAGCCCAGUCGUACCCAGAUCCGGUAAGCGGAGCCCCGUCAGCCACAAUCAUCCAGAGACUGUCUGAGAUCGCUUCUCUGGAGGGAGAAACGGUCAGGCGGGAGAAGAUGAAGAAGAUUAGGAAGAACAGGAGGCAGGACUCCUGAUGCAACCUGUCUAUCAGCCAAUGAAGAGAGCAGAGGUCACAGUUAAAAGCUGUGACCCCAUACGCAGUGCCAAUGCCACCUGAACAAAUAAAACAUUUUGGGAAAAUAUAAACCUUUUUUCUUGUUUAAAAAUAAUCUAACUUUGUAAAAGCUUGUUGGUGCUAUGUAAUAGCAAAGUGUAAAUUCAAUAUUUUGACUUAUACCACCGUUCAAAUUUAGGGGUCACUUAGACUUGUUUUUUGUAAGAAAAACUUUUUUUUUUUUGUCCAUUAAAAUAACAUCAAAUUGAUCAGAAAUACAGUGUAGACAUUGUUAAUGUUGUAAAUGACUAUUGUAGCUGGAAACUGCUGAUUUUUAAUGGAACAUCUACAUAGGGGCACAGAGGUCCAUUAUCAGCAACCAUCACUCCUGUGUUCCAACGGCACGUUGUGUUAGCUAAUCCAAGUGUAUCAUUUUAAAAAGGCUAAUUGAUCAUUACAUAUAUAUAUAAUGCACUAAUGUUGACCAGGGCCCUAUUCCCUAUAUAGUGCACUACUUUUGACCAGAGCCCUAUUCCCUAUAUAGUGCACUACUUUAGACCAGGGCCCUAUUCCCUAUAUAGUGCACUACUGUUGACCAGAGCCCUAUUCCCUAUAUAGUGCACUACUUUAGACCAGGGCCCUAUUCCCUAUAUAGUGCACUACUUUUGACCAGAGCCCUAUUCCCUGUAUAGUUUACUACUUUUGACCAGGGCCCUAUUCCCUAUAUAGUGCACUACUUUUGACCAGAGCCCUAUUCCCUAUAUAGUGCGUUACUUUUUGACCAGAGCCCUAUUCCCUAUAUAGUGCGUUACUUUUUGACCAGGGCCCUAUUCUCUAUAUAGUGCACUACCUAUUGACCAAGGCCCAUAGGGACACUAUAUAGUAAAUAGUGUGCCAAUUGGGACAUUGACAAGAGUGCAUUCCAUAUCACCAAUAUAGAGACCACAUUUUUCCCACAGGACCAGGAAUGUGGCCUUUCCUCACUAAGUAGGCUACAUUGUGGCGUUGCAGUACUGUACAG